CUUCUCUCUCAUUUUUCUUCUUUCUUCUCACACCUGAGACACCCUAACCUUUGAACACACACCAAAUCAUCAUAGAUUGAACCUGCAAAGACCAUCAUUGUUUUCAUCUUGACCUCACGAACCUAGUCGUACCAUAUGAUUGUCGAACGGACGAGUUUUGACUCGUUAACUCGGAAGCUUCGACUCGGUGCCCUUUGCUCCAACGCGAUCCCAGCGAGAUUAUAAGGUUUUAGGACAUGGGGAAGCUUCUAUUCAACUCCAUAGGGACCCUAGACUAAGUUUGGGAAGGAGUCGAUGUCGGAUCAUGCGAGUUUAAGAAGUUUUAGUUUUGGCCAAAUCUUUUGAGGGAUUUUCAGGCCAUUUUCCUGUUAUUUUUGGAUCCCCAAGAGAAACCGGCGAGAUUUUCCGAGAAACCAGUGAACCAGACGGAGGCGGAGGUGGACGGUGAAGCUUACUGAAGAAGAAGGCGAAUAUUUCGUCAACUCCAUUACUAUUUAACAGAAUAUCCCUAACGUCCGUUAGGGUUCCGUCGGCACAUGCUGUGCUCAUGCCUGCAUGUAGUCGUGGGUUCGACUACACGUGAGGGCUUGUACGGCCUCCGACCGGCGAGUGGUUUUCAUGUGCGGGGGAGACAUACCCCAAUGACGAACGCGGACAAGCAAGGCUAGGGGGCUACGAUCCUUCGACAUAUCAGUACUAGUUAGCUGUUGCUCUGUGUGGCACAAGAGGAUUACCCGACGGAUUCUGACAUUCCACUAAAUUAUGUAGGGUUCUUCUCUCUGGUUGUGUAUUUGGUACUUAGUUAGUUCAACUGCACCUUUAAAUUACCUAUGCUCUGAAUGUUUGUAUCUUGGGUUUGACCACUUCCUGCAUACUCACUUAUUUUUAGUUUAAGUUUUAGUUUUGGUUUUAAUUUGUUCACAUUUUUAAUUACUUCUUUUGCA